UGUGUGUGGUGUGAGAGUGAAAGUACUCGCUGCUGAUCGAGCCUGCAAUGUGACUGUACAGAGAGGCAGAGACUCGCACUCCGCGUUCUGGAAUAUAACCAGCAGCAGGAGACCCUUCCCAAACCCUUCCCCACCAACAUCCCGGGCAGGAUCCAAAACUAUGAUUCCCAUUCUCAUCUUCUGUCUGCUGUCUGCAGUCGGUGCUGUGGAAGAAACCCUGCUGGAUACUCGAAUAGCCACCGCUGAGCUGGGCUGGACAGCAUAUCCUUCAUCAGGGUGGGAAGAAGUGAGUGGCUAUGAUGAAAACCUCAAUACCAUCCGAACCUAUCAGGUCUGCAAUGUCUUUGAGUCCAACCAAAACAACUGGCUGUGGACCACUUUCAUAAACCGCAAAGGUGCCCAUCGCAUCUAUGUGGAGAUGAGAUUCACUGUGCGAGACUGCAGCAGCAUACCCAAUGUCCCAGGCUCCUGUAAAGAAACCUUCAACCUGUACUAUUAUGAGACUGACUCGGGGCUGACUGUGCAAGGUGCAGCACUGUGGACCGAAAUGCCGUACCUCAAAGUGGACACAAUCGCCGCUGACGAGAGCUUUUCCCAGGUGGACUUUGGCGGCAGGCUGAUGAAGGUCAACACUGAGAUCCGCAGCUUUGGCCCACUGAGCAAAAAUGGCUUCUACCUGGCAUUUCAGGACUAUGGCGCCUGCAUGUCUCUUCUCUCCGUCCGGGUUUUCUUCAAGAAAUGCCCAAGUGUCAUCCAGAACUAUGCCACCUUUGCUGAGACCAUGACUGGCACAGAGAGCACUUCACUGGUCAUCGCCAAGGGCACCUGUGUGGAGAAUGCUGAGGAGGUCGAUGUGCCCAUCAAACUGUACUGCAAUGGCGAUGGAGAAUGGAUGGUGCCAAUUGGGAGCUGCACCUGCAAGGCAGGCUUUGAGCCAGAAAAGGGGAUGGCAUGUAAAGCUUGUCAUUCGGGAACAUUUAAGGCCACUCAAGGGAGCGAGCAGUGCAUCCCCUGCCCUGCCAAUAGCAGGUCCUUAAGCGAGGCGUCCAGUGUGUGUUCCUGUCGCAAUGGAUACCACAGAGCAGACUUUGACUCGCCCAAGAUGCCGUGCACAAGUGUUCCAUCAGGCCCACGCAACGUGAUAUCCAGUGUGAAUGAGACCUCCAUCAUUCUGGAGUGGAAUCCACCACGGGACGUUGGGGGCCGUGAUGAUGUCAUGUACAACAUUGUCUGCAAGAAGUGCCAUAGCAACCGGCGGUUGUGCACCCGAUGUGAUGAGAACGUGGAGUUUGUACCGAGGCAGUUUGGCCUGACAGAAACUCGGGUGUUCAUCAGCAGCCUUUGGGCACACACUCCCUACACGUUCGAGAUUCAGGCCGUCAAUGGAGUCUCUGGCAAGACGAGGUUCCCCCCACAGCACGUGUCUGUCAAUGUGACCACAAACCAAGCCGCACCCUCUACAGUUCCCAUUAUGCACCAGGUGAGCUCGACAAUGACCACAAUCACGUUGUCCUGGCCACAACCCGAUCAACCAAAUGGGAUCAUCCUUGACUAUGAGCUGCGUUAUUAUGAGAAGGAUCAGAAUGAGUACAAUUCUUCAGUGGUGAAGAGCCUGACAAACACAGCUCGCAUCGAUGGCCUGCGGCCUGGCAUUGUGUAUGUGGUGCAGGUGCGAGCCAGAACCGUGGCUGGCUUCGGAAAGUACAGCGGCAAAAUGUGCUUCCAAACGCUGACAGAUGAUGACUAUAACUCUGAGCUGAGGGAGCAGUUGCCGCUGAUUGCAGGGUCAGCAGCUGCGGGAGUGGUCUUCAUUGUCUCGCUAGUAGCUGUCUCCGUCGUCUGCAGCAGGAAACGAGCCUAUGGAAAAGAAGCAGCAUACAGUGAUAAACUUCAGCAUUACAGCACAGGGCGAGGUGAGUCUGCUCAAGGUUCUCCCGGGAUGAAGAUUUACAUUGAUCCAUUCACUUACGAGGACCCAAAUGAGGCCGUCCGGGAGUUUGCCAAGGAGAUUGAUGUCUCUUGUGUGAAAAUUGAGGAAGUAAUUGGAGCAGGGGAAUUUGGGGAAGUCUACAAGGGUCGCCUCAAGUUGCCUGCGAAACGCGAAAUCUACGCAGCGAUUAAGACCCUGAAGGCCGGCUACUCUGAGAAGCAGCGGCGGGACUUUCUAAGUGAGGCCAGUAUCAUGGGUCAGUUUGACCAUCCGAACAUCAUCCGCUUGGAAGGGGUGGUCACCAAAAGUCGUCCGGUGAUGAUCAUCACAGAGUUCAUGGAGAAUGGAGCUCUGGAUUCAUUCCUAAGGCAAAAUGAUGGGCAGUUCACAGUGAUCCAGCUGGUGGGAAUGAUGCGGGGCAUUGCUGCUGGGAUGAAGUACCUGUCUGAGAUGAACUAUGUCCAUCGUGACCUGGCUGCACGCAACAUCCUGGUCAACAGCAACCUGGUGUGCAAGGUGUCGGACUUUGGUCUGUCGCGCUACCUACAGGAUGACACUUCAGACCCCACUUACACCAGCUCUCUGGGUGGAAAGAUCCCCGUGCGAUGGACCGCACCGGAAGCAAUUGCGUAUCGCAAGUUCACUUCAGCCAGUGAUGUUUGGAGUUAUGGAAUUGUCAUGUGGGAAGUGAUGUCAUUCGGAGAGAGGCCUUACUGGGACAUGUCAAACCAAGACGUAAUCAAUGCGAUUGAGCAGGAUUAUCGUUUGCCACCACCCAUGGACUGCCCAGCGGCCCUGCACCAACUCAUGUUAGACUGUUGGCAGAAAGACCGAAAUUCCAGACCCAAGUUCGCCCAGAACGUCAACACUCUCGACAAAAUGAUCCGGAAUCCUACCAGCCUGAAGACCAUGGCCACCAUCACCGCAGUGCCUUCCCAGCCUCUGUUGGACCGCAGUGUCCCUGACUUCACUGCUUUCACCUCAGUAGAAGAUUGGCUCAGUGCAAUCAAGAUGAGUCAGUACAGAGAGAACUUCCUCAACUCUGGAUUCACAUCUCUGCAGCUGUGCAUGCAGAUGACGUCUGAGGAUUUGCUGAGGAUAGGGGUCACGUUGGCUGGUCACCAGAAGAAAAUACUGAACAGUAUUCAGUCAAUGAGAGGACAGAUCAGCCAAUCAGCUUCCGCUUUGGCAUGACAGCACUGGAUCCCUGGGACAUGUCUAAACAGCACUGGAGGAGCAAAGAAAGACUCAGACUGUUUCUCAUGGUUCAGACUCCUCUUAUGAAGGAAACACACAGUUACUAUCUCCAAGACUGAUCCUAUUGAGAAAUCAUGCAUUCCGCCUUUAAAAGUAACAGUUUCAAGAUCUAAUCGGAUAAUCUUUUUUAAAAAGAGAAAACACUUUGCCCCUUCAUGAAAUCAGGGUCUGUGAAACUAGAAUCAAAUGAACAUCCCAUUAUUCCAAAGAACAUGCUGUGAUAUUCUUUUAACGUUCGUUCGAUACAUUUCUUUUUUUCUUCGUAAGUGAUGUUCUUCAGAUGUCAGUGCCAAGAUAUUGCCCCUUCCCGAAGAUGGAUUCUGAUCCUUUAUAUCUUCAUAUUGAAGAUGAUAAGAUGCAAUCAUUCCUUGCUUGCAUUCUCUGCAACAAUGUCUAUGUUUUGAUAGCAAUGACUCUGAGUGCUGGCAAAACUAGAGCCAGCACACUUGUACAAAGAGGGAAGCAGGUAUUUAAUGGAUUAGAUACACCGGGCUUGAGCUUGUGGCCGACAGGUGCCGGCCAUCAGACUUCUUAUGAACUGUUUUUGAUGAACUAUAUAGAAAAGAUGUGAUCCUUUGGCAGGCGGUACAAGCAAUGCAACCGCUGACCUUGCUUGCAGUUGACAAGAGAGGUGUCAGACAAUGAUACAAAGUACCUCUGGUGUCACAUUGCGCCGCUCAUCAAUUGACUCAUUUUGGACGUUUUACUUUGUGUGUCAGUGCUUGUCUGAAUUCUAGUGAUGUCCAUUCAACCCAGUGCUCAGAACUUUGUUGCUUCAACUUGCAGGAUAAAAACAUUGUGUCCAGUCAAAGGAUAGGGGAAGUUCAAACACAACCACCUAUCCUCAAAGCGACCACAUCAAGUGACUGGAGUGUGAACCUUUUUUGUGUCCUCGUGAUAUUUGAGCACUUGUCAUCCCUCCUCUGGGAUUUAUGAGGUGUGCAGGCAUGUUGCAAGCAGCACUCUGUAGAUAUGGAAUGAAAUACUGUAAAAAAUCUCUAUUUUUUUUUGCUUUCCCUGUACAUUCCCAGUUUGUUAUUUGUGUGGAGUAUGUUUCAGUUUGUAACAGUUAAGUUUUGGAAAAUAUUGUACUAAAAUGCACUCAAUAAAAUGAAUUGAACUGA